rnacentral:piRNA from 6 species
UGGUCUAGUGGUUAGGAUUCGGCGC